UUUUUGAUAAAUUGGCGACGAAGAAAUCAAAAACCCCACAGCGCAUUAAUUUUUCGUCCAAGUGCUCGUGACCCCCUGCUUCUUCUUCCCCCAUUUCUCCCCCAUUUCUCCCAAAAUCACAGCUUCAGCUCCGUGUUGAAUCAGCCGAUUUCCCCCAUUUCUCCUCCUCCGUCGAGUUCCCCAACUCCGCCCACCACGAAAGUAGCAUCGCCACCGAAAAAAACCGAUCUUCUUCGAGCUCGUUACAGGUUAUCCAUGGCUAGAAAAAGUUUUUAUGUUGUGAAGAGAGGUCGACGAUGUGGAAUUUUUAAUAAUUGGGAGGAAUGCAAAUAUCAGGUAGAUAAAUUCCCAAAUGCCUCCUACAAAGGAUAUGCAACGUACGAAGAGGCUUUGAUUGAAUGGGAGAAGUACACACUCGCUCGUGAUUCAGCAUCCAGCUCGAGGCCUGUCCAAACAUCUGUUUAUGCUCAAGAACAAAGAUAUCCAGUGAGCCAUAAUAUGGAUGUGGACAAGGAAAAACUUAGGGAAACUUCUAUUUUCUCUAUCUAUGCUUUUGUAUUAGGUUCAUUGUUUACAAUAUUAGUAUUUCUAGUAUGUAUCGUUGCGGUAUUUGUUGGUUUCUCCAUUGCAAAAAACAUGUGAUGUAAUUUGUAUUAGUAUUUCUAGUGUUUGUCUUUAGUAAUGUUCCCUUAUUUUAUGAAAAUGGAUGGAUGCUGAUCGAUGCAUCCAGUGUUGAAUUUCCAGGCUCA